rnacentral:rRNA from 1 species
AAUAUUGGACAAUGGGGGCAACCCUGAUCUAGCCAUGCCGCGUGAGUGAUGAAGGNCUNNGGGUUNUNAAGCUCUUUCAGCUGNNNNNAUAAUGACGGUCGCAGCAGAAGAAGUCCCGGCUAACUCCGUGCCAGCAGCCGCGGUAAUACGGAGGGGACUAGCGUUGUUCGGAAUUACUGGGCGUAAAGCGCACGUAGGCGGAUCGGAAAGUUGGGGGUGAAAUCCCGGGGCUCAACCCCGGAACUGCCUUCAAAACUAUCGGUCUGGAGUUCGAGAGAGGUGAGUGGAAUUCCGAGUGUAGAGGUGAAAUUCGUAGAUAUUCGGAGGAACACCAGUGGCGAAGGCGGCUCACUGGCUCGAUACUGACGCUGAGGUGCGAAAGCGUGGGGAGCAAACAG